GAAGCGUGCCCGACGCAGAAGCAGAGGCAGCGCUCCUCCCGUUCUCCGUUGCCUCGUCUUCUUUCUCCCCCCUCCGACCCUUUCGCGCUCUCUUGCGAAACGGAAAACGCAAGAAUAUAAAGAAAAUAACUCCAUCGGCAACUCGCAUUCUUUCAAGCGCAACACAUAGCUCCCGCCCGUGACGUGCUUGGCGCCGCAGUUCAAGUCCCCAUCCUCUUCCUAUGCGAUGCACAAUUCAGGCCCCCUCUCUUCAUUCCUUUCACCCAUACUUAGGAAGAUGUUGUCUUCCCAUUUGCAUUGAAACAGCAGAUUAUGAAGUUGUGGUGAUAGCAGGGUUGUCCGUUAAGAGACUUUAAACAAUAUUGCUUACGCCAAAGGCUCCAAGAUCUCUGGACCAGAAGAUUGGAAUCAAUAUUGCUUACCUACUACAGCAUGUCUAUAUUUUGGUUCUGUUCCCAAAUCCUGUGCCAUCGAAAGUCUUUCGUUUUGGUGGAUCUGGUUGUGCUCCGUUAUGUGGGAAGUCAUUGCUGAUUCUGAAGCUGUGACAUCGGAGGACAUUCUCAACAGGCAAUUCACGGAGGAUCUGAAUCAGGUGCUAGACAUUGAAUCCUAGAGAGAAGCUGAUUGUGAGAUUUGAGGUUUGGCCUGGAAAAUGGAAGAAUGAUGACACUACAAGAAACAGGGGAGUUGAUGGCUGUGCGCAGGGAGAGGAUUCAACAGAUUGAAUCCUGUAAUUUUAGAUAAAUUUGAAAGCAAGAAGAGAAUGAAGAGUCUGCGACGGUAUCUUUACUCGUAAGAGUACCGAUUUCAAGCGUGAAAAUGUUGACUUAGCAUUUGGCAGAUAAAAUCGAAGACAUUUGCUCGGUGGUAAACAAUUGUUGU